AACGAACGCUGGCGGCAUGCCUAACACAUGCAAGUCGAACGAGACCUUCGGGUCUAGUGGCGCACGGGUGCGUAACGCGUGGGAACCUGCCCUUAGGUUCGGAAUAACUCCCCGAAAGGGGUGCUAAUACCGGAUAAUGUCUUCGGACCAAAGAUUUAUCGCGUUUGGAUGGGCCCGCGUUGGAUUAGCUAGUUGGUAGGGUAAAAGCCUACCAAGGCGAGGAUCCAUAGCUGGUCUGAGAGGAUGCGCAGCCACACUGGGACUGAGACACGGCCCAGACUCCUACGCGAGGGAGCAGAGGGGGAUAUAGGACAACGGGCUAAAGCAUGAUCCAGCAAGGCUGGGUGAGUGAUGAAGGCGUUAGGGUUGUAAAGCGCUUUUACCCGGGAUGAUAAUGACAGUACCGGGAGAAUAAGCUCCGGCUAACUCCGUG
rnacentral:rRNA from 1 species